rnacentral:rRNA from 1 species
GAUGAACGCUAGCGGCAGGCUUAACACAUGCAAGUCGAACGGUAAGGUCUCCUUCGGGAGAUACACGAGUGGCGGAUGGGUGAGUAACAGGUAUGUAACCUACCUAUAACACAGGGAUAGCCCGGAGAAAUUCGGAUUAAUACCUGAUAUUAUCAAUAUUUGGCAUCUUUUAUUGAUGAAAGAUUUAUCGGUUAUAGAUGGGCAUGCUUUCCAUUAGAUAGUUGGUAAGGUAACGGCUUACCAAGUCAACGAUGGAUAGGGGUUCUGAGAGGAAGGUCCCCCACACUGGAACUGAGAACGGUCCAGACUCCUACGGGAGGCAGCAGUGAGGAAUAUUGGGCAAUGGACGCAAGUCUGACCCAGCCAUGCCGCGUGCAGGAAGACGGUCUUAUGGAUUGUAAACUGCUUUUCUAAGAUUGAAAAGGUACAUUUGCGAAUGUAUUUGCUGUAAUUUUAGGAAUAAGAAUCGGCUAACUCCGUGCCAGCAGCCGCGGUAAUACGGAGGAUUCGAGCGUUAUCCGGAUUUAUUGGGUUUAAAGGGUGCGUAGGCGGGCUAAUAAGUCGGCGGUGAAAUCUACGGGCUUAACUUGUAGUUUGCCGUUGAAACUGUUAGUCUUGAGAUAGCGCGGCGUAUGUGGAAUGUAUCAAGUAGCGGUGAAAUGCAUAGAUAUGCUACAGAACUCCGAUCGCGAAGGCAGCAUACGAGAGCUUAUCUGACGCUGAUGCACGAAAGCGUGGGUAUCGAACAGGAUUAGAUACCCUGGUAGUCCACGCUGUAAACGAUGAUAACUAUCUUUUAGCGAUACACAGUUAGAGGAUGCGAGAAAUCAUUAAGUUAUCCACCUGG